UUGUACCGUCAAUUUUAAUAGAAUUUCAAGGUAGUUUUGUGCAGAUGAUGCCUGCCAUUUCUAAACUGUUACUUUCCUGCAAUGGGCAGUGCGCCACUAACUUGUAUGUGACUCAGACUGACAGUCGCGAUGUUCAAAGAGCCUUUCAAUUUAAUUAUAAGUGACAUUUAUAUUUUUUUUCCUUUCAGCCAGCUUGCUACAAGAAUAUCUUUUAGAAAUUGGAUGUUAAUGAAAAAUCAGGUAAAUUGCAAACACCCAUUUCUGAAACUUGUCAUUCACUUGUAGUGUUUGACUUUCACGUGUAUUUUUAUUUUCUUUCCUUCUUUUCCUAGGACAUCCCUGCUGGUUCAGUAGACUGUGGAGUAGACACGUUGAUGGUGUUUGAAUAUGAACUGAGAGCAGGCUGGCUGUGUGGCUGCAGUUGGGCAGCUGACUCGAGAACAAGGAGCUCAGAUUUAUGAGGCUACAGAGAUCAGCAGGGCCUUCAGGAGGACUCAACAUGAAAAACUGUUGGAGUUCAUCAUAAAGGGUCAUGAAGCAGAUGAUCACUUGCUGGUAACUUAGUUCAGCUGCUGUGUCUGAAAAGAUGUCAUCGAAAUGGUUUAAAAAUGAAGUUCCUAAAGGUCACCAGGUAAUGACCUCUAUACAGUAGAAGAUGAGGAGCUGACAGAUGGCCUCUACAAC